AGAGUUUGAUCCUGGCUCAGGAUGAACGCUAGCGGCAGGCUUAACACAUGCAAGUCGAGGGGCAGCGGGGAGGAAGCUUGCUUUCUCCGCCGGCGACCGGCGCACGGGUGAGUAACACGUAUGCAACCUGCCCCUGUCAGGGGGACAACCCGCCGAAAGGCGGGCUAAACCCGCGUACAUGCCACCGGGGCAUCCCGGAGGCAGGAAAGGCUUCGGCCGGACAGGGAUGGGCAUGCGGCGCAUUAGGCAGUAGGCGGGGUAACGGCCCACCUAACCGACGAUGCGUAGGGGUUCUGAGAGGAAGGUCCCCCACACUGGUACUGAGACACGGACCAGACUCCUACGGGAGGCAGCAGUGAGGAAUAUUGGUCAAUGGUCGGGAGACUGAACCAGCCAAGCCGCGUGAGGGAUGAAGGUACAGAGUAUCGUAAACCUCUUUUGUCAGGGAACAAAGGCGGGGACGCGUCCCCGGAUGAGUGUACCUGAAGAAAAAGCAUCGGCUAACUCCGUGCCAGCAGCCGCGGUAAUACGGAGGAUGCGAGCGUUAUCCGGAUUUAUUGGGUUUAAGGGGUGCGCAGGCGGUCUAUUAAGUCAGCGGUCAAAGCCCGGGGCUCAACCCCGGCCCGCCGUUGAAACUGGCAGUCUCGAGUUGGAGAGAAGUAUGCGGAAUGCGCGGUGUAGCGGUGAAAUGCAUAGAUAUCGCGCAGAACUCCGAUUGCGAAGGCAGCAUGCCGGCUCCACACUGACGCUGAGGCGCGAAAGCGUGGGUAUCGAACAGGAUUAGAUACCCUGGUAGUCCACGCAGUAAACGAUGAAUGCUGGCUGUCCGGAGGGACUGACCCCUGGGUGGCGAAGCGAAAGCGAUAAGCAUUCCACCUGGGGAGUACGCCGGCAACGGUGAAACUCAAAGGAAUUGACGGGGGCCCGCACAAGCGGAGGAACAUGUGGUUUAAUUCGAUGAUACGCGAGGAACCUUACCCGGGCUCAAACGGGGAGUGACUCAGGCAGAGACGCCUGUUUCCCACGGGACACUCCCCGAGGUGCUGCAUGGUUGUCGUCAGCUCGUGCCGUGAGGUGUCGGCUUAAGUGCCAUAACGAGCGCAACCCCCGCGUGCAGUUGCUAACAGAUAACGCUGAGGACUCUGCACGGACUGCCGGCGCAAGCCGCGAGGAAGGCGGGGAUGACGUCAAAUCAGCACGGCCCUUACGUCCGGGGCGACACACGUGUUACAAUGGGUGGUACAGCGGGAAGCCAGGCGGCGACGCCGAGCGGAACCCGAAAUCCACUCUCAGUUCGGAUCGGAGUCUGCAACCCGACUCCGUGAAGCUGGAUUCGCUAGUAAUCGCGCAUCAGCCAUGGCGCGGUGAAUACGUUCCCGGGCCUUGUACUCACCGCCCGUCAAG
rnacentral:rRNA from 1 species